CCAUGAAAGUACACAACCACCUUAAGAUCCCUGCACAAGGGCACUGGCAUCUGAGCUUUACUCCUUUGCAUUUCUCCCUCACAGAAGAUUUGGGAUCAUGCCAAAGACCAUCUAGACUAUAGUCACUCUGGCACUUGGAUCAAGUAAAACACUCAGUAUCUCCCCCAGAAACCUCUGUUGGCACUCCAAGGAAAACCGUCUGCAACACCCUAGGUCAGGAUGUUACUGUAUGUUGGACACAGAACGGCCAUGUAGGAGUUACUCUUCAGAGUCUAGGAAUAUCCCUUGUCAACACAAACUACAGGUUAAGCUAUUUGCUUUCAGCUCUCAUCGAGACAAGGAUCUUCCUUCCUCAUUUCAGAGAGAUUUGUAAUGAUGCACAGUGCCAGGAAUCACUGAACAAAACAUACAGAUUUAACUCAAAAAGAAAAGAGACUUCUUAU
rnacentral:lncRNA from 1 species